AUACGUAGGUGCAACGCGUUAUCCGGAUUUACUGGGCGUAAAGGGCGUGUAGGCGGUCUUGCAAGUCAGAAGUGAAAUUCCUGAGCUCAACUCGGGAGCUGCUUCUGAAACUGCAGGACUUGAGUGCUGGAUGGGAUAGCGGAAUUCCUAGUGGAGCGGUAAAAUGCGCAGAUAUUAGGAAGAACAACGGUGGUGAAGGCGGCUAUCUGGACAUUAACUGACGCGGAGGGGCGAAAGCGUGGGGAGCAAACAGGAUUAUAUACCCGGGUUGUCCACGCCGUAAACGAUGAAUACUAGGUGUAGGGGGUAUCGACUCCCUCUGUGCCGCAGUUAACACAAUAAGUAUUCCGCCUGGGGAGUACGGCCGCAAGGUUGAAACUAAAAGGAAUUGACGGGG
rnacentral:rRNA from 1 species